rnacentral:lncRNA from 7 species
UUUGCUCACCCGAGCAAACCCUUCCGUUCACCCGUUCGUCCACCGUAUCUGCCAAUCACCAGAAUUCCUUGAAUUUGCUCACCGCCAUCGCUGUGGAACCGCCUCAACCCGAGAGUGUUUCAUCCCAUAGCUCCCGUGUUCUAGCUCCCUCUAGUUGUACUGAUGCUCCUCGACUUGACCGUUUCAGCUCUACCGUUGCGUCUUCAUCGGGACACCGCUUCGCCGCCGGUGUGCACUGUUGAACGCCGCCCGACGUCGACCGUCCGUUCUACGCUUUCCCUGUUUGUGUUUGUGUUUGUGUGAGCAUCGAGUGUUGGGUGAGUCUCUAAUGCUCGCCAUGCCUUACGUUUAGGUUCUAUGACGUUGAGUCACCGGGAACGGGCUCGUCGGACUUCGGUGUCCGCCGUCGCCGUCAGCAGUAUAGCUCUCAAGCCUCUGUGAACCGUCUGUGCCCUUGAUGGUGUUCACCUUGGUUCGGGGUAGCUGUGGAUGAGCUCUUUUUGGUCAGAGGGGCCCUCACCGGCGGGCGUGACCGGCUGUUGGCCGGUGUUUGACCGGAGCCCGUCGUGGACUUGGAAGUGUGAAAAGGAGGGGCCUCGGUGUAAUUGUCAGUGAAACAAAUAAGGGUUAAUUAUAUCUAUGUCAUUAUAAUUUUU